rnacentral:lncRNA from 10 species
UCUAAAAUUACGCUCCACAAGACAAACUCAUCCACUCCUCCGUCUUCUCAUCCCCAAGGCCUAAGACAUCUCUGACCUUAUCUCCAAAUACAGUCACCUUCCAAGAUACUGAGGAUUAAGACAUCAACAUAUGGAUUUAAGGGGACACAAUUCAACCCCUUGCAAAGAGCUACAGAUAUCUUUAUUCUACUACUCAUAAAAUGUCUUAGGAAUACAAUAGCCAUUAGAACAUUAACUGGUUGCAAAAGGUUGAAUUGCUGAAGAAACCAGCUGUUUUUCAGAAAGAGAAAAAGCUUUCAUGCAGCAUUCUUCAUUUAGAGUACAUUGUUAUGCAGGUAUAUACAGCAAGUUAGUGUGUACAUUGAGAAAGACCCAGCAUAAAGUCACAGAGGACUCUGGUGCCAAAUCAUCUGAGUAUUUAUUUGAAUACUGGCUCUGUUUCUGACCAGCUGUGUGACUUUCCCAGCUUGCCUCCAACAACCUCUCCAUUCAAUUUUCCACAUACUGAGAGAGAUUUAUUGAUUACUCUGGCAAGAUACUGGGAUAGGCACAGAAGACCCAGCAGUGCCCAAAAAAACAACCUCUGUCCCA